UGAAAUACCGCAGCUUAACUGCGGGGACGCGCUGGAAACUGUAAGACUAGAGUACAGGAGGGGGACCUGGAAUUCCUGGUGUAGGGGUGAAAUCUGUAGAUAUCAGGAAGAACACCGGUGGCGAAGGCGAGGUCCUGGCCAUGUACUGACGCUGAGGCGCGAAAGCGUGGGGAGCGAACAGGAUUAGAUACCCUGGUAGUCCACGCCGUAAACGAUGUGCACUAGGUGCUUGGGGGUAGCCUUGAGUGCCGUAGCUAACGCGUUAGGUGCACCGCCUGGGGAGUAUGCUCGCAAGGGUGAAACUCAAAGGAAUUGACGGGGGCCCGCACAAGCGGUGGAGCAUGUGGUUUAAUUCGAUGAUACGCGAGGAACCUUACCAGGGCUUGACAUAUACUCGACGGUUGUAGAGAUACAGCUUCCCUUCGGGGCGAGUAUACAGGUGCUGCAUGGCUGUCGUCAGCUCGUGCUGUGAAGUGUUGGGUUAACUCCCGCAACGAGGGCAACCCAUGUUACUUGUUGCCAGCAUUCAGUUGGGGAGUCAGGUGGAACAUCCGGUGUCAAACCGGAGGAA
rnacentral:rRNA from 1 species